AUGACAACUGCUGGAACGGCAGCAUCAACCAUAACUACGCCUGUCUCAACAUCUGCGGUUGAAACCACAAUGGCUCAGAAUAUUUUUAUAGAAACUACUACCCUUGGCAUCACUUCCACAGAAAUUUCUACCACUUCUGAAGAAAGAACAACCCUGGAAACUACUACCUUUGGCACCACUUCUGUAGAAAGCACAACCCUGGGCACAACUUCUGCAGAAAGCACAACCCUGGGCACAACUUCUGCAGAAACGGCUACCCUUGGCAUCACUUCUGCAGAAACUACUACCAUUUCUGUAGAAAGAACAAUCCUAGGCACAACUUCUGCAGAAACUACUACCAUUUCCGUAGAAAGAACAACCCUGGGAACCACUGCUGCAGAAACUGCUACCCUUGGCUCUACUUCUGCAGCAAGUACCUCACUUGUCACACCUAUUGUAGAAAGCACAACCCUUGGUGCCACUACUGCAGAAAAAACAUCCUCUGCAAGUUCAAAAGGAAUCUUGGAAACAUCCAUGCUUGUAAAAACAAAUGCUGGAACAACAGCAACUACUCCUGCUUCAACAUCUGCAGUUGAAACCACAAUGGCUCAAACUACCACUCCUGCAGAAACUAUUACCCUUGACACCACUUCUGCGGCAAGUACCUUACUUGUCACCCCUUUUGUAGAAAGCACAACCCUUGGCACCACUUCUGCAGAAAAAACAUCCUCUGCAAGUUCAACAGGAAUCUUGGGAACAUCCACGCUUGUAACAACUGCUGGAACAACAAUGCCUGGCUCAACAUCUGCAGUCGAAACCACAAUGGCUCAAACUACAUAUUUUUCAGAAAUAACUGCACUUGGCUCCACUUCUGUAGGAAGCAUUACCCUUGGCACCACUUCUGCAGAAAAAACAUCUUCUGCAAGUUCAACAGGAAUCUUGGAAACAUCCAUGCUUGUAACAACUGCUGGAACAACAGCAGGUAUGCCUGACUCCACAUCUGCAGUUGAAGUGCUUGAUGGCACUUUUGCUGAAACACCCUCAGUUAGUUCAGCAGGAACUACAGCUAUAGGCACACCUGUCUUAACGCCUGCUGUUGAAACCACAAUGGCUCAAACUACCAUUAGGCACCACUACUGUAGAAACAACUACCUUUUGCAUAACUUCUGUAAAAAACACAGUUGGUCCCUCUUUUGUAAAGGGUACCAGUUGUGCGCAAACUAGUACCCUUGGCACCAAUUUUGCUUGAAACAAAACUGUUGGAACAAACUGCUGUAGAAGCCACAAUGGCUCAAACUACCACUUCUGCAGAUAAUACUACAGAAAUUUCUACUGUUGGUACCACUUCUACAGAAAUGACAACUGCUGGAACAACAACCUCAGCUAUAAUUAUGCCUGCCUUAAAAUCUGCUGCUGAUUCCACAAUGGCUCUAAAAACUACAGCUUCUGCAAAAAUAUAUCCUACAGGUACCACUGCAAUAGAAACUAGUACUAGUACUAUGCCUGGCUUUAAUGUCUGCUGUUAAAAUCACAGUGUCUCAAACAGAAACUACUAUGGUGCCCUUAGCACCAGUUCUGCAGAAACUACAACCCUAGGCACCACUUUUACUGAAACGCUGUUAAUUCAACAGGAAAAUUUAUGGAAAUAUCCACACCAGUAAUGACACCUGCUGGAACAAUCACAUCUGAAACUACUCCUGGCUUAACAUUUGUUGAAACCACAAUGGCUCUGAAAACUCCCACUUCUAUAGAAACUAUUUUCCUAGGCACGACUUAUCCAGAAACUACUACAAUCUCGACAGUCUCUUCAAAAACUACUGCAGUAGGUAGUAUACCACUUCUUUUGAAACAAGUUCAUUUUUGCAAACAUCUACACUUUUAUAAGAGUUGGGUAGAGUACCCAGAAACUGUACUCAAGUAAAAUUAA
ensembl:lncRNA